rnacentral:rRNA from 1 species
GGGACACGUGGUAUCCUGUCUGAAUAUGGGGGGACCAUCCUCCAAGGCUAAAUACUCCUGACUGACCGAUAGUGAACCAGUACCGUGAGGGAAAGGCGAAAAGAACCCCGGCGAGGGGAGUGAAACAGAACCUGAAACCGUGUACGUACAAGCAGUGGGAGCACAGGUUUACCUGUGUGACUGCGUACCUUUUGUAUAAUGGGUCAGCGACUUAUAUUCUGUAGCAAGGUUAACCGCAUAGGGGAGCCGAAGGGAAACCGAGUCUUAAUUGGGCGUUAAGUUGCAGGGUAUAGACCCGAAACCCGGUGAUCUAGCCAUGGGCAGGUUGAAGGUUGGGUAACACUAACUGGAGGACCGAACCGACUAAUGUUGAAAAAUUAGCGGAUGACCUGUGGCUGGGGGUGAAAGGCCAAUCAAACCGGGAGAUAGCUGGUUCUCCCCGAAAGCUAUUUAGGUAGCGCCUCGUGAACUCAUCUCCGGGGGUAGAGCACUGUUUCGGCUAGGGGGCCAUCCCGGCUUACCAACCCGAUGCAAACUGCGAAUACCGGAGAAUGUUAUCACGGGAGACACACGGCGGGUGCUAACGUCCGUCGUGAAGAGGGAAACAACCCAGACCGCCAGCUAAGGUCCCAAAGUCAUGGUUAAGUGGGAAACGAUGUGGGAAGGCCCAGACAGCCAGGAUGUUGGCUUAGAAGCAGCCAUCAUUUAAAGAAAGCGUAAUAGCUCACUGGUCGAGUCGGCCUGCGCGGAAGAUGUAACGGGGCUAAACCAU